AGCGGCGGACGGGUGAGUAACGCGUGGGCAACCUGCCUUCACAGAGGGAUAGCCAAAGGAAACUUUGAUUAAAACCUCAUAAAGCCGGAAUAGUGCAUAAUAUACUGGCCAAAGAUUUAUCGGUGAAAGAUGGGCCCGCGUCUGAUUAGCUAGUUGGUGGGGUAACGGCUCACCAAGGCAACGAUCAGUAGCCGACCUGAGAGGGUGAUCGGCCACAUUGGAACUGAGACACGGUCCAAACUCCUACGGGAGGCAGCAGUGGGGAAUAUUGCACAAUGGGCGCAAGCCUGAUGCAGCAACGCCGCGUGAACGAAGAAGGCCUUCGGGUCGUAAAGUUCUGUCCAUAGGGAAGAAACAAAUGACGGUACCUAUGGAGGAAGCCCCGGCUAAAUACGUGCCAGCAGCCGCGGUAAUACGUAUGGGGCAAGCGUUAUCCGGAAAUAUUGGGCGUAAAGAGUGCGUAGGUGGUGGCUUAAGCGCAGGGUUUAAGGCAAUGGCUUAACUAUUGUUCGCCUUGCGAACUGGGUCACUUGAGUACAGGAGAGGAAAGCGGAAUUCCUAGUGUAGCGGUGAAAUGCAUAGAUAUUAGGAGGAACACCGGUGGCGAAGGCGGCUUUCUGGACUGCAACUGACACUGAGGCACGAAAGCGUGGGUAGCAAACAGGAUUAGAUACCCUGGUAGUCCACGCCGUAAACGAUGAGCACUAGGUGUCGGCCACUAAAGGUCGGUGCCGCAGUUAACGCAUUAAGUGCUCCGCCUGGGGAGUACGCACGCAAGUGUAAAACUCAAAGGAAUUGACGGGGACCCGCACAAGCAGCGGAGCAUGUGGUUUAAUUCGAAGCAACGCGAAGAACCUUACCAGAGCUUGACAUCCCUCUGACAGAUCCUUAAUCGGAUUCUUCUUCGGACAGAGGAGACAGGUGGUGCAUGGUUGUCGUCAGCUCGUGUCGUGAGAUGUUGGGUUAAGUCCCGCAACGAGCACAACCCUUAUCAUUAGUUGCCAUCAUUAGGUUGGGCACUCUAGUGAGACUGCCGGGGACAACUCGGAGGAAGGUGGGGAUGACGUCAAAUCAUCAUGCCCCUUAUGUUCUGGGCUACACACGUGCUACAAUGGUCGGUACAGAAAGCAGCGAAACCGUGAGGUGAAGCCAAUCUCCAAAACCGAUCUCAGUUCGGAUUGUAGGCUGCAACUCGCCUACAUGAAGUCGGAGUUGCUAGUAAUCGCAGAUCAGAAUGCUGCGGUGAAUGCGUUCCCGGGUCUUGUACACACCGCCCGUCACACCAUGGAAGUUGGGGGUGCCCGAAGUUGG
rnacentral:rRNA from 1 species